ensembl:lncRNA
GGACGGGGAGAGAGAAGCCCAAACAAAAGCUGAAUAUGCGGCUCUGUUAAUACGAAGUCUACCUGCCUCUCAGAAUUCAUGCUAGUGAGGCGACUGGGACGUGAGACGCUGCCAAAGGAAAUCCUCCCGCACUCCAAGAGCAACACGGUGCGCUGGAAGCAAAGUCGUCUGCUUUGUACCGCAGAGACACCAGCUCGUGACCAGUGGACGAAGGAUAAAGGACUUGUGAUGCAGCUAAACGCAUCCCCCACAUGGAUGGUGGCAGCUCGUGGCCCCCGGCCUGAGACCUGAGACCCCCACCCGGC